rnacentral:rRNA from 1 species
AGACCCGAAACCCGGUGAUCUAGCCAUGGGCAGGUUGAAGGUUGGGUAACACUAACUGGAGGACCGAACCGACUAAUGUUGAAAAAUUAGCGGAUGACCUGUGGCUGGGGGUGAAAGGCCAAUCAAACCGGGAGAUAGCUGGUUCUCCCCGAAAGCUAUUUAGGUAGCGCCUCGUGAAUUCAUCUCCGGGGGUAGAGCACUGUUUCGGCUAGGGGGCCAUCCCGGCUUACCAACCCGAUGCAAACUGCGAAUACCGGAGAAUGUUAUCACGGGAGACACACGGCGGGUGCUAACGUCCGUCGUGAAGAGGGAAACAACCCAGACCGCCAGCUAAGGUCCCAAAGUCAUGGUUAAGUGGGAAACGAUGUGGGAAGGCCCAGACAGCCAGGAUGUUGGCUUAGAAGCAGCCAUCAUUUAAAGAAAGCGUAAUAGCUCACUGGUCGAGUCGGCCUGCGCGGAAGAUGUAACGGGGCUAAACCAUGCACCGAAGCUGCGGCAGCGACACUGUGUGUUGUUGGGUAGGGGAGCGUUCUGUAAGCCUGUGAAGGUGUGUCGUGAGGCAUGCUGGAGGUAUCAGAAGUGCGAAUGCUGACAUAAGUAACGAUAAAGCGGGUGAAAAGCCCGCUCGCCGGAAGACCAAGGGUUCCUGUCCAACGUUAAUCGGGGCAGGGUGAGUCGACCCCUAAGGCGAGGCCGAAAGGCGUAGUCGAUGGGAAACGGGUUAAUAUUCCCGUACUUGGUGUUACUGCGAAGGGGGGACGGAGAAGGCUAUGUUGGCCGGGCGACGGUUGUCCCGGUUUAAGCGUGUAGGUGUGUGUUCCAGGUAAAUCCGGUUCACUUUAACACUGAGGCGUGACGACGAGGCACUACGGUGCUGAAGCAACAAAUGCCCUGCUUCCAGGAAAAGCCUCUAAGCAUCAGGUAACAUCAAAUCGUACCCCAAACCGACACAGGUGGUCAGGUAGAGAAUACCAAGGCGCUUGAGAGAACUCGGGUGAAGGAACUAGGCAAAAUGGUGCCGUAACUUCGGGAGAAGGCACGCUGACACGUAGGUGAAGUGAUUUACUCAUGGAGCUGAAGUCAGUCGAAGAUACCAGCUGGCUGCAACUGUUUAUUAAAAACACAGCACUGUGCAAACACGAAAGUGGACGUAUACGGUGUGACGCCUGCCCGGUGCCGGAAGGUUAAUUGAUGGGGUCAGCGCAAGCGAAGCUCCUGAUCGAAGCCCCGGUAAACGGCGGCCGUAACUAUAACGGUCCUAAGGUAGCGAAAUUCCUUGUCGGGUAAGUUCCGACCUGCACGAAUGGCGUAAUGAUGGCCAGGCUGUCUCCACCCGAGACUCAGUGAAAUUGAACUCGCUGUGAAGAUGCAGUGUACCCGCGGCAAGACGGAAAGACCCCGUGAACCUUUACUAUAGCUUGACACUGAACAUUGAGCCUUGAUGUGUAGGAUAGGUGGGAGGCUUUGAAGUGUGGACGCCAGUCUGCAUGGAGCCGACCUUGAAAUACCACCCUUUAAUGUUUGAUGUUCUAACGUGGACCCGUUACCCGGGUUGCGGACAGUGUCUGGUGGGUAGUUUGACUGGGGCGGUCUCCUCCUAAAGAGUAACGGAGGAGCACGAAGGUUGGC